GGUGACCAGGUGCUUGCACUUGGGGAUCAGUGGCGAACGGGUGAGUAACACGUGAGCAACCUGCCCCUGACUCUGGGAUAAGCGCUGGAAACGGCGUCUAAUACUGGAUACGAGACGUGAUCGCAUGGUCGAUGUCUGGAAAGAUUUUUCGGUUGGGGAUGGGCUCGCGGCCUAUCAGCUUGUUGGUGAGGUAAUGGCUCACCAAGGCGUCGACGGGUAGCCGGCCUGAGAGGGUGACCGGCCACACUGGGACUGAGACACGGCCCAGACUCCUACGGGAGGCAGCAGUGGGGAAUAUUGCACAAUGGGCGGAAGCCUGAUGCAGCAACGCCGCGUGAGGGAUGACGGCCUUCGGGUUGUAAACCUCUUUUAGCAGGGAAGAAGCGAGAGUGACGGUACCUGCAGAAAAAGCACCGGCUAACUACGUGCCAGCAGCCGCGGUAAUACGUAGGGUGCAAGCGUUAUCCGGAAUUAUUGGGCGUAAAGAGCUCGUAGGCGGUUUGUCGCGUCUGCUGUGAAAUCUGGAGGCUCAACCUCCAGCCUGCAGUGGGUACGGGCAGACUAGAGUGCGGUAGGGGAGAUUGGAAUUCCUGGUGUAGCGGUGGAAUGCGCAGAUAUCAGGAGGAACACCGAUGGCGAAGGCAGAUCUCUGGGCCGUUACUGACGCUGAGGAGCGAAAGGGUGGGGAGCAAACAGGCUUAGAUACCCUGGUAGUCCACCCCGUAAACGUUGGGAACUAGUUGUGGGGUCCAUUCCACGGAUUCCGUGACGCAGCUAACGCAUUAAGUUCCCCGCCUGGGGAGUACGGCCGCAAGGCUAAAACUCAAAGGAAUUGACGGGGACCCGCACAAGCGGCGGAGCAUGCGGAUUAAUUCGAUGCAACGCGAAGAACCUUACCAAGGCUUGACAUAUACGAGAACGGGCCAGAAAUGGUCAACUCUUUGGACACUCGUAAACAGGUGGUGCAUGGUUGUCGUCAGCUCGUGUCGUGAGAUGUUGGGUUAAGUCCCGCAACGAGCGCAACCCUCGUUCUAUGUUGCCAGCACGUAAUGGUGGGAACUCAUGGGAUACUGCCGGGGUCAACUCGGAGGAAGGUGGGGAUGACGUCAAUCAUCAUGCCCCUUAUGUCUGGGCUUCAGCAUGCUACAUGGCCGGUACAUGGGCAGCGAUCCGUGAGKGGAGCGAUCCAAAAGCCGUCCAGUUCGGAUG
rnacentral:rRNA from 1 species